rnacentral:rRNA from 1 species
AGUUCGAUUAUGGCUCAGAUUGAACGCUGGCGGGAUGCUUACACAUGCAAGUCGUGAACGGCAGCACGGACUUCGGUCUGGUGGCGAGUGGCGAACGGGUGAGUAAUGUAUCGGAACGCGUGCCUAGUAGCGGGGGAUAACUACGCGAAAGCGUAGCUAAUACCGCAUACGCCCUUCGGGGGAAAGCGGGGACCUUUCGGGCCUCGCACUAUUAGGAGCGGCCGAUAUCGGAUUAGCUAGUUGGUGGGGUAACGGCUCACCAAGGCGACGAUCCGUAGCUGGUUUGAGAGGACGACCAGCCACACUGGGACUGAGACACGGCCCAGACUCCUACGGGAGGCAGCAGUGGGGGAAUUUUGGACAAUGGGGAAACCCUGAUCCAGCCAUCCCGCGUGUGCGAUGAAGGCCUUCGUUGUAAAGCACUUUUGGCAGGAAAGAAACGGCACGGGAUAAUACCCCGUGCAACUGACGGUACCUGGAAUAAGCACCGGCUAACCAUGCCAGCAGCCGCGGUAAUACGUAGGGUGCAAGCGACCGGAAUUACUGGGCGUAAAGCGUGCAGGCGGUUCGGAAAGAAAGAUGUGAAAUCCCAGAGCUUAACUUUGGAACUGCAUUUUUAACUACCGAGCUAGAGUGUGUCAGAGGGAGGUGGAAUUCCGCGUAGCAGUGAAAUGCGUAGAUAUGCGGAGGAACACCGAUGGCGAAGGCAGCCUCCUGAUAACACUGACGCUCAUGCACGAAAGCGUGGGGAGCAAACAGAUUAGAUACCCUGGUAAACCACGCCCUAAACGAUGUCAACUAGCGCUCGUUGGGGCCUUCGGGCCUUGCAGCGCAGCCAACGCGUGAAGUUGACCGCCUGGGGAGUACGGUCGCAAGAUUAAAACUCAAAGGAAUUGACGGGGACUCCGCACAAGCGGUGGAUGAUGUGGAUUAAUUGAUGCAACGCGAAAAACCUUACCUACCCUUGACAUGUCUGAACCUGAAGAGAUUUGGGAGUGCUCGCAAGAGAACCGAACACAGGUGCUGCAUGGCUGUCGUCAGCUCGUGUCGUGAGAUGUUGGGUUAAGUCCCGCAACGAGCGCAACCUCCUUGUCAUUAGUUGCUACGAAAGGGCACUCUAAUGAGACUGCCGGUGACAAACCGGAGGAAGGUGGGGAUGACGUCAAGUCCUCAUGGCCCUUAUGGGUAGGGCUUCACACGUCAUACAAUGGUCGGGACAGAGGGUCGCCAACCCGCGAGGGGGAGCCAAUCCCAGAAACCCGAUCGAAGUCCGGAUCGCAGUCUGCAACUCGACUGCGUGAAGUCGGAAUCGCUAGUAAUCGCGGAUCAGCAUGUCGCGGUGAAUACGUUCCCGGGUCUUGUACACACCGCCCGUCACACCAUGGGAGUGGGUUUUACCAGAAGUAGUUAGCCUAACCGUAAGGAGGGCGAUUACCACGGUAGGAUUCAUGACUGGGGUGAAGUCGUAACAAGGUAG